ensembl:lncRNA
AAGUUAUAAAACCACCAUAUGUCCUUACAAUCCCACUCCCAGCAUAUACCCUGAGGAAACCAAAAUUGAAAAAGACACAUGCACCCCAAUGUUCAUUGCAGCACUAUUUACAAUAGCUAGAACACAGAAGUAACCUAUAUGUCCAUUGACAGGUGAAUGGAUAAAGAAGCUGUGAUAGAUACAUACAAUGGAAUAUUACUCAGCCAUAAAAAGGAAUGCAUUGAGUCAGUUCUAAUGAGGUGGACCAACCUAGAGCCUAUUAUACAGAGUGAAACCAGAAGCAUAUCUGUCAACUAGACCAAGAAAUAGCACAUGUCGACCAGACCAGGAGGGGAUAAUCUGCCGACUGGUCCAGGAGAGAAGCAUCUACUAGACUGGGAGAGUAUGACCUGCCUCCUAGACCAGGACAGUGGUAUCUGUUUACCAGAACCAGAGGUUUCGUCUAUCCAACAGCCAGGAGGGUAGACUUGGCCAACCAGAUCAGGAGAGUGGCAUUUUUCAGAGCUCACAGCAAAAACCUAAAGUGAAUUUAUUUGGUCUUUAUAUUUGUCUACUUGCUUUAAAAAUCAUAUUAUGGGAAAUGCUGAUAAUCAAAGACCCACUUACGUAUUUUGGUAUAAAAGUAAAAAUAUUAGAAAACAAACCCUGCAAAGUAAGGAAUUACACUUGUAAGAGCAGGAAGAGGUCACAGGAACAAAUGAUAGUACUCACAGCUCUACAGAAUUUAGUUUCAGAUGGUGAAUAUAUCCUAAAUACAGUAUUUUAAGGAAAGCUAAGGGAUAACUGAGGGCUUAGAGAAUCUGCCUGGAGCCUGGAUUCAAUCCCUGCAUUGGGAAGAUCCCAUGGAGAAGGGAAUGACUACCUACUCCAGUAUUCUUGCCUGGAGAAGGGAUAAAUACAUUUGUGCAUGGAGUGACUUCACUAAAAAGUCUAAUAAUUUUUUUUCUUGAGAGCAUAAUAUGAGGUGAAGCACUUUGCAAUGUCAAAUUUAAAAUAAUUAGGUAAAAUUUCACUUUUAUUCCCCAAAUAAUAUAGUUGACAAAUUUAAAAUUUUUUCAUAGUAAGUUACAUCAAUAAAAUACAAGAAUGUUACUAAAACACAUAUCUAGACAUUCUUACUAACCUGGUUCAAACUAGAAAAUAACAGAAUUAUUUCUGUUGGAGAAAAGUCAUUUUCAAAGAUAA